rnacentral:rRNA from 1 species
AUUGAACGCUGGCGGCAUGCCUUACACAUGCAAGUCGAACGGCAGCACGGGUGCUUGCACCUGGUGGCGAGUGGCGAACGGGUGAGUAAUAUAUCGGAACGUGCCCUAGAGUGGGGGAUAACUAGUCGAAAGAUUAGAUAAUACCGCAUAUGAUCUGCGGAUGAAAGUGGGGGAUCGCAAGACCUCAUGCUCUUGGAGUGGCCGAUAUCUGAUUAGCUAGUUGGUGGGGUAAAAGCUCACGAAGGCGACGAUCAGUAGCUGGUCUGAGAGGACGACCAGCCACACUGGAACUGAGACACGGUCCAGACUCCUACGGGAGGCAGCAGUGGGGAAUUUUGGACAAUGGGGGCAACCCUGAUCCAGCAAUGCCGCGUGAGUGAAGAAGGCCCUCGGGUUGUAAAGCUCUUUUGUCAGGGAAGAAACGGUGAGAGCUAAUAUCUCUUGCUAAUGACGGUACCUGAAGAAUAAGCACCGGCUAACUACGUGCCAGCCGCCGCGGUAA